AAGUUUUGGUGGGGGAGUAAGGAAGGCAAGAGGAAAGCUAGUUGGGUUUCGGGGAGCAUGAUGACGAGGCCGAAACAUUGCGUACGUUUAGGAUUCCAUGAUAUAGAGUUGUUCAACUUGGCCUUGCUAGCGAAACAAGCAUGGCGCAUACUGACUGAUCCUACAAUGCUAAGUGCCAGAAUAUUGAUGGCGAAGUAUUUCCCUACCACUAAGUUUCUUCAGGCAGAGCUAGGAGGAAGCCCCUCGCACGUAUGACGGUCAAUAUUAUAUGGGCAUGAUACUCUCUCUCAGGGGAUAAUACGGAGAAUUGGGGAAGACAACACCAAACGGAGUCCUUGUUUUUGA
rnacentral:rRNA from 1 species